rnacentral:misc_RNA from 1 species
GGGCAAACUUAGAAUGGACAUUGCAACCCAAUCAGUAACUGAAUCAACGGAAAGUUCACCGUCAUACCUAGACAUGCACCUUAAACUUCUACAACCUGGGGGGAAAGCCACAAGUGCUGGAAUUCCAUGUCUAAAAUAUGGUAGUCCACCAGGUCUCUUCUCAGCUAGAUAUGUGGCAAGUUGAACAUCAGCAACAUCAAUAACUCCAGUAUCUGCGACCCCAUCUAGCAAAGUAACAAUUCUUUUCCAUUUGUUUGAAAAUUGAGCACAUCGUGCACUCCCCGGAGAAAAAAUCUGAAUUAGCAAUGCCUUAUCAGUUCCAAGCUUGGAUAGAAAAUUCUCGGAGUUGAUGACAUCAACAGCAUGGUCUUCAGGAUCAAUAGAAAUUGUCUCCAGGAGAGGAAAGGUGAUUUCUGAAAUACUUCUUCCAACGUACUGCUCUUUAGCCUUUUCAACAACAUGAAAUUGCUCAUCGAUGCUGUAUAGGUCAUAGUCUCUUUUCCAAAUCUUAUUUGUCAGCAACUCAAAAGCAUAUCGAGCCUUGAUAAAAUCAAUGGUAGAAGGAACUUCAACACCUGAACUCCACUUUGAAGAGAGCUUUUCAUAUGCCUGAUUGACUUCUUCAAUUGAACUAUGAGCUCUGACACCCAAUACAUCAUAAUGCGAACGAGGGAAGGCACGAGGAAUCACGAUUAGUUGAUAGAAGAGCGAAGUAGAGAAAAGUAUAAAAGGGAUAAAGUAGGCCUUGAGCGUCGACAGCAAAGAAGAAGCGGCCGCUGGUUUUGCCGAAACCCUAGAAACGGAGGAUGUCGCCAUGAUCGAUUCCCUGCUUUUUCGGGACAAUGUGAGAAUUUUCUUGGAGUGUGACUUAAAACUGUGGCCGGAAUCCGU